rnacentral:rRNA from 1 species
UACGUAGGGUGCAAGCGUUGUCCGGAAUUAUUGGGCGUAAAGAGCUCGUAGGCGGUCUGUCGCGUCUGCUGUGAAAACUCGGGCUUAACCCCGGGCCUGCAGUGGGUACGGGCAGACUAGAGUGCGGUAGGGGAGACUGGAAUUCCUGGUGUAGCGGUGAAAUGCGCAGAUAUCAGGAGGAACACCGGUGGCGAAGGCGGGUCUCUGGGCCGUAACUGACGCUGAGGAGCGAAAGCAUGGGGAGCGAACAGG